AUUGAACGCUGGCGGCAGGCCUAACACAUGCAAGUCGAACGAGUGGCGGACGGGUGAGUAAUGUCUGGGAAACUGCCCGAUUGAGGGGGAUAACUACUGGAAACGGUAGCUAAUACCGCAUACCCUCGGAUGUGCCCAGAUGUGAUUAGCUUGUAGGUGGGGUAACGGCUCACCUAGGCGACGAUCCCUAGCGGGUCUGAGAGGAUGAUCAGGCAACCUGGAACUGAGACACGGGCCAGACUCCUACGGGAGGCAGCAGUGGGGAAUAUUGGACAAUGGGCGAAAGCCUGAUCCAGCCAUACCGCGUGAGUGAAGAAGGCCUUCGGGUUGUAAAGCCCUUUUGUUGGGAAAGCGGUACCCAAAGAAUAAGCACCGGCUAACUUCGUGCCAGCAGCCGCGGUAAUAC
rnacentral:rRNA from 1 species